UUUACGAGGCGGGUAAAGGUAUAAAGACGGGCACCUCCACACCUGCCUACCCUCCAUACUUUGUCACCGGUGUCCCGACGAUGGUCCCAAUCGCUCCGCCUUCUCUGGUGGACAAGAUGUCCGCCGCCCCCCCCUUCGGAGGUCAGCCUGCUCACAGCAGGUGAGGUCUUACUUCUAUCAGCAAAUGGUCCCAAUCUUUUCUAAUUAUUGAAAUACAAUAUCAGUGUUUUGUUUGUUUCCUUUAACCCAGUAAAAUCAUCCACAGAGUUUAUUCUUGACUUUGAUAUAUUUGCUGAACGUUGGAUAUUCUGCAUUAUGAACUUGAUUUGAAAGCGCUGCAUCCGUGACGCACUGAAAACGGUUUCUUUCAGUUUCUGUUAUAUUUUUGGAUAUGUGAAUGCUGUACGUUGAGGUUGUAUUCUCGUGGGUCCAUGUUGACUGUUUUAUUCUACACCUUUUGGCUAAAAAGAACAGCAAUUAAAUAAAGACAGAAAUAGAAAACCAGCAAAAGAGCCAGUGUGGCCACAGAGAACAAACCGGAGUCGUCCGUGCUGAUGGGUCAAGUGUGUAUCUGCAGUGCCGAUGCACGCCGUAGGGGCUCCCUACCGCGUGCCUUCCUCUCAGGAUCAGGACUCUCUCAGGGUGCUGCAGUACGUAGAGAAACAACUGGCUCACUUCAACCCGGCCAGGUCCAUCAGCCACCAGACCUGCAGCCUGUCCGAGCUGAGCUCCCUCCACGAGGGCGAAGCCGGCUUCCGCCAAACCUACCGCAACGUCCAGAAGAAAGCUCUGCCCGCCAUCCCUGACCACGACCCUCAGCCCGAGCCCCAGCGCUACCGUGACAACCGCAGCCCGGAGCCUCAGCGUUACCGCGACGACCCUCCUUCCCCCCAGCGGUAUCAGGAUGACCCCGACGCAGAGCCCCGCCGCUGCCAGGACCAGGAUCUCCCCCUGCGGCGGCACAGCGACGACCCCCCGACCAGCCCGCGGCCGCGCAGGCCCGGACGGAACCAACGGCACCAGGAUCACAGCGAGGAGGAGCCCCCCAACAGGUGGAACCCUCGUUCAGAACAUCUGCACAGGAAGGCGUACCGCACCGGCGGGCGGACCAUCUCGCUGGACGAGCUGGAGGAGUUUGCGGCUUCCUACAAGCAGAGGGGAAGCCGAGAGGACGGGAGAAGGGAGGAGGAGAGGGGAGAGUAUGAGAUGGAGCUUCGGGAGUUCCGUCGAUAUCCCUCCCACCGCAAAGGCCCCCCCACAGCACUACCACACUGACGAGAACGAGCUGGCAGACGACAGCGACCACGGCGAUCGCCCCAGGCGGAACACGAAAGGCGGACAGAACAUAAGCCCACUUCAGUCGCCCAAAAAGAGGAGGGGCACCUGGGACAGCGAGCGGCCCGCCCCCCCCCCACCCAGAGUCAGUCCACCGUCGACCUCUUCUCAAGAGAAGGACUACGACGGCGCGUUCCUCAACAGCCUGCUGGAGCGCAAGGCCAAGUUGCGGGGGGGUCAGCCAGGAUUCGGACACGCCCUCGAAGGACAGCUCGAAGAAGAGCAGCGGGGAAUCGAGCCGGCCGUGCAGCCGCUCGCCCAGCAACAGGCCCGAGCCCGGGUCACUGCCGCCCUACUCGGACACGGAGCGGGGCAGAAGUGA
ensembl:lncRNA